rnacentral:rRNA from 1 species
CUACGGGGGGCAGCAGUAAGGAAUAUUGCGCAAUGGAGGCAACUCUGACGCAGCCAUGCCGCGUGCAGGAAGAAGGCCUUAUGGGUCGUAAACUGCUUUUAUUUAGGAAUAAACCCCCGAACGUGUUCGGGGCUGAAGGUACUAAACGAAUAAGCACCGGCUAACUCCGUGCCAGUAGCCGCGGUAAUACGGAGGGUGCAAGCGUUAUCCGGAUUUAUUGGGUUUAAAGGGUGCGCAGGCGGGCUAUUAAGUCAGUGGUGAAAUCCCGGGGCUCAACUCCGGAACUGCCAUUGAUACUGAUAGUCUUGAGUUUGGUUGAAGUGGGCAGAAUGUAGCAUGUAGCGGUGAAAUGCAUAGAUAUGCUACAGAACACCAAUCGCGAAGGCAGCUCACUAAGCCAAAACUGACGCUCAUGCACGAAAGCGUGGGGAUCAAACAGGAUUAGAUACCCCUGUAGUC